rnacentral:rRNA from 1 species
UACAGAGGUCCCAAGCGUUGUUCGGAUUCAUUGGGCGUAAAGGGCGCGCAGGCGGCCCGGAAAGUCGGAUGUGAAAGCUCGAGGCUCAACCUCGAGCGUGCACCCGAUACUGCCGGGCUUGAGGCAGGUAGGGGAGAUCGGAAUUCCUGGUGUAGCGGUGAAAUGCGCAGAUAUCAGGAGGAACACCCGUGGCGAAGGCGGCUCUCUGGAACGCAACUGACGCUGAGACGCGAAAGCGUGGGGAGCAAACAGG